GACGAACGCUGGCGGCGUGCCUAACACAUGCAAGUCGAGCGGAGGCAUGCGAGGAGCAAUCUGAGGAUGCCUGAGCGGCGGACGGGUGAGUAACGCGUGAGCAACCUGCCUUCCACAGGGGGAUAACGUACCGAAAGGUACACUAAUACCGCAUGAGACCACGGUACCGAUGGUAGUGGGGUCAAAGGAGCAAUCCGGUGGGAGAUGGGCUCGCGUCCGAUUAGGUAGUUGGCGGGGUAACGGCCCACCAAGCCUGUGAUCGGUAGCCGGCCUGAGGGGGGGGACGGCCACAUUGGAACUGAGAGACGGUCCAAACUCCUACGGGAGGCAGCAGUGGGGAAUAUUGGGCAAUGGGGGGAACCCUGACCCAGCAACGCCGCGUGAGGGAAGAAGGUUUUCGGAUUGUAAACCUCUGUUCUUGGAGAAGAGAAGAAGACGGUAUCCAAGGAGGAAGCCCCGGCUAACUACGUGCCAGCAGCCGCCGUAAUAC
rnacentral:rRNA from 1 species